rnacentral:rRNA from 1 species
GUUGAACGCUGGCGGCGUGCCUAACACAUGCAAGUCGAGCGAAGCGGGGACGGGUGAGUAACACGUGGAUAACCUCCUAUAUGUCGGGGAUAACUUCGGGAAACCGGAGCUAAUCCGGCUACUUUUAGCUGGAUCCUUGCUGCAUUAGCUAGUUGGUAGGGUAACGGCUUACACAGGCAACGAUGCAUAGCCGAUCUGAGAGGAGGAUCGGCCACACUGGAACUGAGACACGGUCCAGACUCCUACGGGAGGCAGCAGUAGGGAAUCUUGCGCAAUGGGCGAAAGCCUGACGGAGCAACGCCGCGUGAGUGAUGAAGGUCUUCGGAUUGUAAAGCUCUGUUAGUAGGGAAGCGGUACCUAAUCAGAAAGCCACGGCUAACUACGUGCCAGCAGCCGCGGUAAUUC